GUUAACGAGGGGCCCGGAGACGCGAUAAUACGGAGGGGGCAGUGGUGGGCCGGAAGCAUGGGGGGGAGAGGGCGUGUGUGCGGCCCGGUAAGUCCGCUGGGAAAGUCGAGGGCGCAACCCUGUGAGGCGGGAGGAUACUGGCGGGCUAGGGUCCGGAAGAGGCGAAUGGAAUUCCUGGUGUAGCGGUGAAAUGCGCAGAUAUCAGGAGGAACACCAAUGGCGAAGGCAGCUCGCUGGGACGUGACUGACGCUGAGACGCGAAAGCGUGGGGAGCAAACAGGAUUAGAUACCCUGGUAGUC
rnacentral:rRNA from 1 species